rnacentral:rRNA from 1 species
UACGUAGGGUGCAAGCGUUGUCCGGAAUUAUUGGGCGUAAAGAGCUUGUAGGCGGUUUGUCGCGUCUGCUGUGAAAUUUCGGGGCUCAACCCCGAACUUGCAGUGGGUACGGGCAGACUAGAGUGUAGUAGGGGAGACUGGAAUUCCUGGUGUAGCGGUGAAAUGCGCAGAUAUCAGGAGGAACACCGAUGGCGAAGGCAGGUCUCUGGGCCACUACUGACGCUGAGAAGCGAAAGCAUGGGGAGCGAACAGG